AUUGAACGCUGGCGGCAUGCUUUACACAUGCAAGUCGAACGGUAACAGGCCUUCGGGUGCUGACGAGUGGCGAACGGGUGAGUAAUGCAUCGGAACGUGCCCAGAGGUGGGGGAUAACGCAGCGAAAGCUGUGCUAAUACCGCAUGUGAUCUGAGGAUGAAAGCGGGGGACCAGGCAGCAAUGUUUGGCCUCGCGCCCUUGGAGCGGCCGAUGUCAGAUUAGGUAGUUGGUGGGGUAAAGGCCUACCAAGCCGACGAUCUGUAGCUGGUCUGAGAGGACGACCAGCCACACUGGGACUGAGACACGGCCCAGACUCCUACGGGAGGCAGCAGUGGGGAAUUUUGGACAAUGGGCGCAAGCCUGAUCCAGCAAUGCCGCGUGCGGGAAGAAGGCCUUCGGGUUGUAAACCGCUUUUGUACGGAACGAAAAGGCUCUGGCUAAUACCUGGGGCUGAUGACGGUACCGUAAGAAUAAGCACCGGCUAACUACGUG
rnacentral:rRNA from 1 species